UUAAGUUGGAUGUGAAAUCCUAUGGCUCAACCAUAGAACUGCAUCCAAAACUGAGGGGCUAGAGUCUGGGAGGGGAAGAUGGAAUUAGUGGUGUAGGGGUAAAAUCCGUAGAGAUCACUAGGAAUACCAAAAGCGAAGGCGAUCUUCUGGAACAGUACUGACGCUGAGGCGCGAAAGCGUGGGGAGCAAACAGGAUUAGAUACCCUGGUAGUCCACGCCCUAAACUAUGAAUGUUAGUCGUCGGGAGGCUCGUCCUCUCGGUGAUGCAGCUAACGCAUUAAACAUUCCGCCUGGGGAGUACGGUCGCAAGAUUAAAACUCAAAGGAAUAGACGGGGACCCGCACAAGUGGUGGAGCAUGUGGUUUAAUUCGAAGAUACGCGAAGAACCUUACCUGGCCUUGACAUUGAUAGAAUCUGCUAGAGAUAGCGGAGUGCCCUUCGGGGAGCUUGAAAACAGGUGCUGCACGGCUGUCGUCAGCUCGUGUCGUGAGAUGUUGGGUUAAGUCCCGCAACGAGCGCAACCCUCGUCACUAGUUACUAACGGUUCGGCCGAGGACUCUAGUGAGACUGCCUUCGUAAGGAGGAGGAAGGUGAGGACGACGUCAAGUCAUCAUGGCCCUUACGGCCAGGGCGACACACGUGCUACAAUGGGAUGUACAAUGAGACGCAAUACCGCGAGGUGGAGCAAAUCUAUAAAGCAUCUCUCAGUUCGGAUUGUAGUCUG
rnacentral:rRNA from 1 species